rnacentral:rRNA from 1 species
UACAGAGGUCCCAAGCGUUGUUCGGAUUUACUGGGCGUAAAGGGCGCGUAGGCGGUCAGCACAAGUCAGUUGUGAAAUCUCCGGGCUUAACUCGGAAAGGUCAACUGAUACUGUGCGACUAGAGUGCGGAAGGGGCAACUGGAAUUCUCGGUGUAGCGGUGAAAUGCGUAGAUAUCGAGAGGAACACCUGCGGCGAAGGCGGGUUGCUGGGCCGACGCUGACGCUGAUGCGCGAAAGCCAGGGGAGCGAACGGG